AAAUAAAUACUUAACUUAUUGU
rnacentral:snRNA from 1 species